UUACAGUGGUAUAGACAAAAUUCAGGUAGAGGCCUUGUCCACCUAAUUUUAAUACGUUCAAAUGAAAGAGAGAAACACAGUGGAAGAUUAAGAGUCACGCUUGACACUUCCAAGAAAAGCAGUUCCUUGUUGAUCACGGCUUCCCGGGCAGCAGACACUGCUUCUUACUUCUGUGCUACGGACGCACAGGCUCAACCCUGGGGAGGCUAUACUUUGGAAGAGGAACUCAGUUGACUGUCUGGCCUGUAUCCAGAACCCUGACCCUGCCGUGUACCAGCUGAGAGA
rnacentral:lncRNA from 1 species